rnacentral:misc_RNA from 1 species
UAUUCAGGUGCAUGCAUGUGUGUGUCUUAUACAAAUCACAAUGCGAGCAAUAAUAGUACAGGUUUGACAAUGAUAAAUGCCAUUGAUGUGAUUUGUGAAGUUCCGGUCUUCUAAUCGUCUUUUGAAAUGUAAUUUGCCCGUGUCUCAAUUUCUUUAUAAGGCUAAAUAACACAUGGAACUUUUGUGGAUAUGAGGAUGCAUAGCUGCAUGUGUGGGCAUACUAGGUAGACAAGAUUAGGAAUGAAGAUAUUUGGGACACAUUAGGAGUGACCUUUGUGAUGGACAAGAUGUGAGGUGAGAUUGAGAUUGUCUGUACAUGUGAAGAAGAA